CGGCGGAUGGGUGAGUAUCACGUGGGCAACCUGCCUGUAAGAUCGGGAUAACUCGCGGAAACGUGAGCUAAUACCGGAUGAAGUCUUACGCCACCUGGCGUAAGGAUGAAAGAUGGCCUUUGUGCUAUCACUUACAGAUGGGCCCGCGGCGCAUUAGCUAGUUGGUGGGGUAAUGGCCUACCAAGGCGACGAUGCGUAGCCGACCUGAGAGGGUGAUCGGCCACACUGGGACUGAGACACGGCCCAGACUCCUACGGGAGGCAGCAGUAGGGAAUCUUCCGCAAUGGACGAAAGUCUGACGGAGCAACGCCGCGUGAGUGAUGAAGGUCUUCGGAUCGUAAAACUCUGUUGUCAGGGAAGAACAAGUGACGUUCGAAUAGGGCGUGACCUUGACGGUACCUGACCAGAAAGCCCCGGCUAACUACGUGCCAGCAGCCGCGGUAAUACGUAGGGGGCAAGCGUUGUCCGGAAUUAUUGGGCGUA
rnacentral:rRNA from 1 species